UUACUGGACCUGUGGUUAUGCUGUAUUUGGGUCAGUUUUUUUUUGCAGUGAGCUAAGGGUGGAAAGAUGAAUCACACGAUGGGCUUACUCUUUAAAACCGAGCAGCAUUUAGCCACCUGCCUUUUUAAAACCUACUGGCUCUUCUAUUUGGCGUGCUACACUUGUCUGUUAUUGGAAGUGUCGCUUGGCCGCUGCCGGUGCUGGCUGUUUGUGGUUAUCUCUCAUGCUUUCCUGGCCAGCCUGCCUUUGGGCAGGAAGUCCCCUUUAGUGGAAAAGUACUGGGGCUCAGCAGGGCAUGGGGCUGCAGAGCCAGUGAGAGCACAGACACACCAAGGGGCAGGAAAAAAGAAGAUGUCUUAAGCGCAAAGUGCUCCUUUACAUCUGAGCUGCUGACCUGAGGAAACCACAGAACACACCGUGGGGGUUGCCAGGACAACAGGACAUAUUCCUGCAGGAGCUGGCUGUCGUGGAAACCACAGUAUAUGAAGGCCUGCAGGAAAUUUCUGCGGCUUCACAGACCACACAUCCCAGAGGACGUCUCAGAGUCCUCUCCCUAACACAGGAACUAUUUGUCUACUGCUAACCUGUAAACAACAAGCACAUUACAGUUUAGCUGUACCCCACACCUUCACUACAUCAGUGUGCCAUGAAUGAAAGGCCUCUGAGUGUUUGGGGGUUUAUAAUGUUUCUGUGUUAGUUAGUGAAUUAACACUAAGCUUUCAUAGUUCUCUAAUUGUGUGUUUAGAAUGGAAAUGUUUACAUGUAAAUUUUAAGUGCUUCCAAUUAAUAAUUUACUGUGAUGAAUACAAAAAAUUGCAUAUAAUUAUUUAGAUUUAUGUGUAAUUAUGUUUGCCUCCUACUCUCACAGUAUGUGUUGCACAGAUGUGUGCAUAGAUGUGUAAAUAGUUUACAGACUGCUUCUGUAAAUCUCCAUGUGAGUAACAGUUACGCAUGAAGGGAAUGCAAUGUAGUAGAUCAUGCACAAUAUUAAUAUAGAAUUUUAUCGAAAAGAUGUGGACAGUAGUCUUAGGUUUGAGUCUUCAUGCACUCAGUAAAUAACAGCACAUUUUAUAAUGACUGAUUAAACUGAAAAAUUUUGUUACUUGAUGAGAACAUAUUAAAAUCAUUCAAACUAAUUCGAGACGGUCAUUGGUGUUUUGUCUGAAUUCUAAAAUGCGCAGAGAUGUUCCUGUGGGGCUUUGGUUUGUGGGCUACAGCCCGAUGGCUUCCCUUGUUUUUGUUGAAUUUACCUACGGUCCAGUUACUACAACCACCCCAAAACAGCCCAGUCACUACAACCAUUUCAGAACAGGCGUGUGUGUGGAGCUUCUCCCCCUCCCUCUCCCGGCCCUGUCUGUUCAUUGAGAGCAGUGAUGAGUGUGCCUUCCUCCUUCACGUGAGCAGAUCAGCCUCGGUGUCAGAGUCCCCGUGUGUGUGCAGGGAGAGCAGUGUCAUCUGACAGUGCGGCUGAUUUGCCAUGCAAAGUGACCUGCCAUGCCUGCUUAGCAAACACGCCAGUCCUCUGUCAUUCCCUCUUUAACAUGAGCAAGCCAAGAGUUGGCCUUUGUGUGCAGGACAGGAACUGCACGGGGGACUAACCAACUGUUUCCAGUGGUCGAUGCGGCUUGGCUGAAGGCUUUCAGAGGUCUACGUCUGAAAAUAUAAGCUGCUGAGCAUGCUGGGACUGCAGUGAGUCACCAUGGACCCAGAGGAGCUGGAGCUGCAGAGUGACUCUCAGUACCGCGCCUACAGGGCGGCCAUCGAGAAGGCGCUGCGCAGCUUCGAGUCCUCCAGCGAGUGGGCCGACCUCAUCUCCUCCCUGGACAAACUGACCAAGGCACGGGUGUCCGCUCCGCUCCCUCUGGGUUAAUGCUACGCUGGUGUCACUGCUCAAGGAGGGCAGCAUGGUUUCGGAGGCAGUGGUAUCCUGCUCACCCUGGGUUGGCUUUAUAGACCAUUAAGGGAAGCUAGAGGGGCGGUUAGAGGGUGACUUGUAGCCGUGGUGUUUGUAUGUACAUCUUUAACUUUGUCAGUGAGUGACAGAACCCAGCAGGAAGUCUAGUGGUCCCUGUGUUGUGGGUUUAGGAGUGCAGAAGUAACACCACUAUCAACGAAGGUUCAGUUUGGAUGCUUUUUUUUGUUGGAUGUUUUUACCAUUCUUAAAACCAGAAGCCUCAGUACAAAUCCAGUGUGUGAAAGCAAACUAUGUAAAUGCAGAAAGAUAUUAUAUCUUCAGUAGUAGGCUGGUGGUAAGUGUUUUACUGCUCCCUUUGUUCUCUCCAGGGUAAUCAUCAGCCUGGUGUGCACACUGAAAUGAAUGCUUUAGUUUCACUGUCCCUCUACUCCAUAUACCUCUUGACCGCACAUUAACAUUGUGUGUGUAAGUGGAUGUAGCUGAACAGUGCUGCCAACAGUUUGGUGUCGUUAUCAGUUAAUUGUUCCUAGCAAUUGAGAGAGUGUUGUAUGUUGGAUGCUGUGUGGAAUAAAUGGAUGAAGGAGGCAAUUGAAAGCGAACGCACAGCUCACUCUUUCUUUCCCCUCUGUGGGUAGUAUUGGAGGAGAGUUUGUGUUAUUUUGGCUGGUCCUAUGGUAAAGGCCACACAGUGUGGAGUAUGGUGGAUUCAGUGCUGACCUGCUGUCACUGUGUCUCACUUGUCUCCCUCUCCUCUGUCAUAAGGCCCUCCAAAAUAACCCGAACU